AUACUUACCUGGCAGGGGAGAUACCAUAAUCAUUAAGGUGGUUUUCCAGGGUGGAUCUUAUCCACUACACUUUGGAUGUGCUGACCCCUGUGAAUUCCCAAAUGUGGGAAACUCAACUGCAUAAUUUGCGGUAGUGGGGGACUGCAUUCGCUCUCUCCCCUG
ensembl:snRNA U1 U1 spliceosomal RNA